GCUCAGCGUUGGUGCUCCCAAGAAGGUAUAGUUUAAAAUAAUUUAACUGUUAGGAUAUAGCCCUAAGUAAUAUGUUUCUUAAUAGACAUAAUAUUAAUUAUUAAGUGUAUGCAUAAUAUGUAGUAGUAUUAUCAGCGGGUAAUAACCAUAUUAUUUCUGUUAAAUUAUUUAGGUUGUCAAUGACAAGAAAGAGGAGAUAUCCAUUCCUAUUAUUCAAACCAAUGAGCCCAGUAUUAAAGUAUCGUCUAACAAAGAAAAGAAGGAAAUUGAAAAAAUGGAUACUAAAUAAUUAAUAAGCUAAUAUAUAUGGUCGAUAAAUUUCCCACUUCUUCCAUUGUUCAUGAUUUCUAAGUAUAUUCCUAUUUGUAUCAAUACAUAAUAACUUUUUAUGUUCCUUAAUUUAUUUUUAUUUUUUUUUUUUUAAUUUGAAUUUACAUGUUAAGAAUUAUAAGAAAAUAUUUGAAUUGUUUCAAAAUACUUACUGGUAUGAACUAUUAAUUUGUAAAGUAUUUUUAAACGUAAAUUUAUGAUAAUAAUAAAACUUAGUUAUUGCUAAAGUCUGUU
rnacentral:lncRNA from 1 species